rnacentral:rRNA from 1 species
UGAGGAAUAUUGGUCAAUGGGUGCAAGCCUGAACCAGCCAUCCCGCGUGAAGGACGACUGCCCUAUGGGUUGUAAACUUCUUUUGUAUAGGGAUAAUCCUACCCUCGUGAGGGUAGCUGAAGGUACUAUACGAAUAAGCACCGGCUAACUCCGUGCCAGCAGCCGCGGUAAUACGGAGGGUGCAAGCGUUAUCCGGAUUUAUUGGGUUUAAAGGGUCCGUAGGCGGACUUAUAAGUCAGUGGUGAAAGCCUGUCGCUUAACGAUAGAACUGCCAUUGAUACUGUAAGUCUUGAGUAUAUUUGAGGUAGCUGGAAUAAGUAGUGUAGCGGUGAAAUGCAUAGAUAUUACUUAGAACACCAAUUGCGAAGGCAGGUUACCAAGAUAUAACUGACGCUGAGGGACGAAAGCGUGGGGAGCGAACA